UACGUAGGGGGCGAGCGUUGUCCGGAAUUACUGGGCGUAAAGAGCGCGUAGGCGGCCUGUUAAGUCAGGUGUGAAAACUUAAGGCUCAACCUUAAGAUUGCACUUGAAACUGGUAGGCUUGAGGUCAGGAGAGGAAAGCGGAAUUCCUAGUGUAGCAGUGAAAUGCGUAGAUAUUAGGAGGAACACCAGUGGCGAAGGCGGCUUUCUGGACUGAUUCUGACGCUGAGGUGCGAAAGCCAGGGGAGCAAACGGG
rnacentral:rRNA from 1 species